GACGAAGGAUGCAAGCGUUAUCCGGAUUCAUUGGGUUUAAAGGGAGCGUAGGUGGCCUUAUAAGUCAGUGGUGAAAUCCCGCAGCUUAACUGUGGAAUUGCCAUUGAUACUGUAGGGCUUGAGUACAGAUGCCGUUGGCGGAAUAUGACAUGUAGUGGUGAAAUACAUAGAGAUGUCAUAGAACACCGAAUUGCGAAGGCAGCUGACGAAACUGUAACUGACACUGAGGCUCGAAAGUGCGGGGAUCAAACAGG
rnacentral:rRNA from 1 species